CGGGGGCGAAUCCUAGCGGCGGACGGGUGAGUAACACGUGAGAAUUUGCCACUCAGUGAAGGAUACCUUCGGGAAACUGAAGUUAAUACUGCAUAAGUCCCUUCGGGGAGAAAGAUGGCCUCUUGCUAUCGCUGAAUGAUAAGCUUACGUACUAUUAGUUUGUUGGUGGGGUAAUGGCCUACCAAGACGAUGAUGGUUAGCCGGCCUGAGAGGGUGUACGGCCACAUUGGAACUUAGACACGGUCCAGACUCCUACGGGAGGCAGCAGUCGGGAAUAUUGCACAAUGGGCGAAAGCCUGACGCAGCGACGCCGCGUGAGGGAUGAAGGUUUUAGGAUCGUAAACCUCUGUUAAGUGGGAAGAAAACCUUGUCAAUAAUACGGACAGGGAAUGACGGUACCAUUAGAGAAAGCACCGGCUAACUUCGUGCCAGCAGCCGCGGUAAUACGAGGGGUGCAAGCGUUAUUCGGAAUUAUUGGGCGUAAAGGGUGUGUAGACGGUUUGUUAAGUCCGCUGUUAAAUCCUCCAGCUUAACUGGAGGCUUGCAGUAGAUACUGGCAGACUUGAGGGUGAAAGAGAGAAGCGGAAUUCUCGGAGUAGCGGUAAAAUGCGUAGAUCUCGAGAGGAACACCAAUGGCGAAGGCAGCUUCUUGGUUCACUACUGACGUUGAGGCACGAAAGCGUGGGGAGCAAACAGGAUUAGAUACCCUGGUAGUCCACGCCGUAAACGAUGAUCACUAGACGUUAGUUUUGCCUAGCAAAAUUAGUGUCGUAGCUAACGCGUUAAGUGAUCCGCCUGGGGACUACGGUCGCAAGACUAAAACUCAAAGGAAUUGACGGGGGCCCGCACAAGCGGUGGAACAUGUGGUUUAAUUCGAUGCUACGCGAGGAACCUUACCUAGGCUUGACAUGUGCCUGAUCGCUGUGGAAACACAGUUUUCUGAGCUUCGGUUCAGACAGGUUCACAGGUGCUGCAUGGUUGUCGUCAGCUCGUGUCGUGAGAUGUUGGGUUAAGUCCUUUAACGAGCGCAACCCUUGCCGUCAGUUGCUAUCUGCUUGCAGAGCACUCUGGUGGGACUGCCUGGGAAACCAGGAGGAAGGUGGGGAUGACGUCAAAUCAUCAUGGUCCUUAUGCCUAGGGCUACACACGUGUUACAAUGGCCAGUACAAAGGGUUGCGAUGCUGCGAGGCGGAGCUAAUCCCAUAAAGCUGGUCUAAGUUCGGAUUGAGGUCUGCAACUCGACCUCAUGAAGUUGAAAUCGCUAGUAAUCGCGUAUCAGCAACGACGCGGUGAAUACGUUCUCGGGCCUUGUACACACUGCCCGUCACACCACGAAAGCUGUUUGUACCCGAAGUUGCUUUAGCUAACCCGUAAGGGAGGCGAGCACCGAAGGUAUGGGGAGUGAUUGGGGUGAAGUCGUAACAAGGUA
rnacentral:rRNA from 1 species